GCACGAGCUAAGCGCAUCGAUGCCGCGCUUUACAUUUCAUCAGUAAUUUACACGGCUGCCGCGGGGACAAUUCAACAUUAUGUUAUAUUGUUUAGAAAGGUUAAUUCAUAUAAAGCGUACCUGCACGUUUUAAAUCCCUGGAAGAGAAAUGUAAUGCUGUGCCCAGUCGGGUUUUUUUUCUGUGGUGCGUAAUUGAUACGGACAUCCUGUACACCAGUCGGGCAGAGCGUGCCCCCUCAUCUUGCCCCAGAGGGCUUCACUGAAAAAAAAAAAAAAAAAAGAUUAAAAGAAAUAAAUAAUGGAAGACAAACGCAAGAAGCGCAGUCCAAAGGUGUCUCUCCCGCAGCCCCCGCCUCCCCCCAUAAACCCCCGCAAACUCUCCGUCCUGCCUGCCAGCAAAAGUGCCACCUUCUCUCUCGGCCUGCCGCAGCCUCCCUCCCCCAAGAACAGAGGCAAAUAUAAGAGGUCCAUAGGAGCACCAGGACAGCCCAAAGAGGUGUUCACAGCCGUCGUAGCUCCACCAAAGACCACCAGGCCCCAUAAGGAGAAGCCCAGGGCCCCCCAGCCAGCAGGGCCCAGUAAAGUAGUCCAGUCUUCACCCUUGCAGCACUCAUUUCUCACAGAUGUCUCAGACGUGAGAGAAAUGGAGGGAGGGCUCCUCAACCUCCUCAACGACUUCCACUCAGGCAAACUACAGGCGUUCGGUAAGGUGUGCUCCUUUGAGCAGCUGGAGCAUGUGCGCGAGAUGCAGGAGAAGCUGGCGCGAUUGCACUUCAGCCUCGACAGUCACGUGGAGGAGCUUUCAGAGGACCAGAGGAAGUGCGCCUCUGACCACAACCUGGAACACCUGCUCAGUAACCUGUGAACCUUCCAAUAGACUGGACAAUACUGUGUAAUGAAGACAGCCCAUGUUGCUCUGUACUGGUAUUAAAAUUGUUAUCACAUGCUCUGCUGAGCUACCAGUAUGUCCAAGUGUUAAAUAUUAUCCAGCACAAACAGUGAUGUGCAGUCCAAGAAUGCCUUGAAAGAGUUUCUAUUGUUAGCGUGUUGUGUGGCUCCUAGUUACCCACGCCUGGGGCUGGUAUGCUCACUGUGGGGAAGCUGCAGUGCUGUGUGUGUGUGUGUGUGUGUGUGAGGGAUGUGAGAACAAGCCUUCAGCUCACUGCAGACACUGAUGCCAGGAACACUUGCUAGCUCUAACAGCAGUGGGUAACUGUGCCUCAGAGCAGAUGGGCUGUGAAGUGACUUUCCUUUGUGUAGGUAAGGGAAGCUGACCAUUUGCUUUUGUAAACAUUGUAGUUGAACGAUGGGAACUUCAUUCAGAUAUCGACGUGACACACACACACACAGGCUAUUAUGUAAUAUGAUCCCAUUUAGUGCCUUGCAGUAUCACUUCAGUUCCUAUUUUUGGCUGUUUGUAUUUUCGACACAACCUCUCAUCCAUGUGUUCCUUUGUUUUCUGCAGCUGGAGGAGCUCAGCACCUCAAUACAAAAGCUCCACUUGGCUGAGAACCAGGACCUGCCCAAGACAUCUGGUCCCUGACAAAGUGAGGUGUGGAGGACGGCGACCGACACACUCAUCUUCCCCCAGCAUCUAACCAGUCCAGGUUGCCAUGGCAUUGAUCCAGCUGCCUUAGUAACAGAAUGGAAAGAUCCAGAGGAGGGGCUAUUUUUUUUUCCAUUCGGUCAAUGAAGCCGAGGGAAUGAUACAGUGACUCAAAGCAGCGGAGCAUUAAAUGAACACUCAACCAAAAAUCAUAAACCCCUCAUUCAUGGCACAAGAAGCGAUCAGAGGGUUUACUUCCCAGUUGCAGGAGAAGAAAACAUUGUGUGUUAAAAAAAACAUUUUUGUGGCAUCAUUUUACUUGGCUUCAGUUAGUAAUUACAUCAUUUGGUAUCAAAUAAUUGAAUCCAAGUGAGUGUGGUUGUUGGUUCUGUUUUCCAUUACGAAAAGCACAUUUCAUGAGAGUUUAAGACUUUAUAUUGUGUUUUUUCAAUGUCAUGUUAUGCUCAGUCCUUUCCAUAAUUUUAGAUGGUACAUGUCUUUGUCAGAAAAGGUAUAAAACGUGAGCCACACUUACGUAGCAAGUAGCAAACAUAGUUGGCCCAUGUUGACCACAUCACUGUGGUUAUCUCUGAAGUUAAAAGGGAGUUUUCACCUUUUGCUAUUAUUCUCAGUGCACUCUCUCAUUUUUAUAUCUUUGCUAAAUGUUUAAUACUGGAAAACUGGGUUGGAUUUAAUCUCUGGGUGACCGUUUCUUAUAAUUGUGCAUUUUAAAAGGGACUAUGUGAGGAGACCUAAUGUACAAAAUGUAUGUUUGAUUAACUUAUACUGUUUGGAAAAUGACUAAAGAUGUUUUGCCAAUGUGCAGUUCAGCUACUGUAUUUGCAGACUUUGAUGGUUUAAAAUAAUUUAAGUAGGAUGAUUUUGUCUGUUCUGUCAGUGCUUCUUCAGGAUUGCCUUUAGGUUUUAUUUAUAGUUACAUUUGUGAAUUAGAGCCCGGUAGCAGCAUCCCUCCAAGCACAAACUAGUCCACCCUGCUACUGAAAUGCUGUAAAAUCCCCUACUUGAAUCGUUUAAUUUACACAGGGAGUUUGUCCACUCUGACACAGGAAGGCAUUCACUUGUCUCUCAUGACACUGUGAUGGAUAGCACAUCCACAGAGUGAUGCAGCUGGCACAAAUCUCUGUGCAGUACCAUUUCAGAAUGGCAGCUACUUUCAUGGUUAAAAGAUUUAGGGGCUGAGAUUAUGAUUUCCAUUGCAUUUAAACUCCAAACUUGGCAGCAACAUUACCUUGGCCAUAGUAUUUAAUCCCCGACAAGCCAAUUAAAGUGAUAUAAGCGUUCAAUCUGAAAGAUCGAAGCACUGGCGCAUUUAGUUAUUUUAAAAAAUUGUACUGCUCGCUAAGCCUACCUCUUUUCCAAGGCCUUGGAACAUGUGAUACCUUUCUCAUUCUGGUUAGUCCAUCAAAGACCAUAGACUGCUAUUUUUUGUUAGUUUACAUAUUCAGAGGGGUAAUUCACCAGAACGCAGACUACCGUUAGCUUUACACAACAUGCCAUAAGAAUUAGACACAGUCACAACAGAAAAUUUGUGUGUUCUCAUGUGUAUUCAGUGACUGUAUCCAUGA